UCUCGUCUUGUUGGAAAUUGUUCUGUGGUUUUGUGAUUUUCGUAUUUAAACCAAGUUUUGUGUAAUAUUUAGUGAUAUUUUUUUGUAAACAUAGAACAAUUAUAUCAAAUAAGUGUUGUAUUAAAGAAAUUUCAUUAAAAAUUGUUUUAAUAUUGAAAAAUAUGCCAAGAAAAAGUGAAAGCAAAAUUUGUCGGAACAUGCUUCGUUGUCGAGGCUUCGUUCUCGAAUCAAAAGACAUAGAUGAAAUGGAAUGAAACUUGUAAACGACUCGGCGUAAUCUAGAUGAAGUCUGCUAAUGAUGAAUUACACACAUUUCUGAAACUAAGACAAAUAUUGUGAGGAUCAAACAUAAUCUUAAGGUAGCAGCGACACGAGAAAAAUCAUUGUAGACGAUUUGUUAAUGCUCGGCCGUUGUUCAUUGAACUCCUAGUCGUUCGGUGCAAAGAACCGAUUGUCAUGGGAACCUUAAUCAAACGGGGUUAGAUCAUCUUAAAGUUUUUUCAAAUCUUGUUAAAUGUUGAAGCAGUUUUACGAUGAGCGAUUUUACAGGAGAUGAAAUUAGUAUAUUUACACCCAAGAUGAUUUACAAACAUUUUGUUAUUAUUUAAAAAAGUUUUUUUUAUUAAAAUUUUUUUCAAAAAUUAAAUGGCAACUUAAUUAUACAAAAUCAUAAACUUAACACUUAAGCUUUACGUACACCACGUAACUCCUUAUCAGCCUUCUUUAAGUUGACAAAAUUGUUCAAUUGUUUCACACGUAAUUUCGACCAAAUCAUAUAAUUCGAAAGACCCAAAAUUUGAGCAGCAUGUAGAGCGGCAGUCUCGGGAUACAAAACAGUGGGGCAACCCAAACCAGAGGGAACAUUAAGACUAGACCAAACAUCAACUUGCAUAUUUUCAGCCUUAAGGGGAGGACAAUUGAUGACAGGGUAGGUGGUGUUGCCCGAUAGGACAGGUCCCAAACCAUUGGAACGGCCAGCCACACAAA